UGGGGAAUAUUGGACAAUGGGCGCAAGCCUGAUCCAGCCAUGCCGCGUGAGUGAUGAAGGCCCUAGGGUUGUAAAGCUCUUUCACCGGUGAAGAUAAUGACGGUAACCGGAGAAGAAGCCCCGGCUAACUUCGUGCCAGCAGCCGCGGUAAUACGAAGGGGGCUAGCGUUGUUCGGAUUUACUGGGCGUAAAGCGCACGUAGGCGGACUUUUAAGUCAGGGGUGAAAUCCCGGGGCUCAACCCCGGAACUGCCUUUGAUACUGGAAGUCUUGAGUAUGGUAGAGGUGAGUGGAAUUCCGAGUGUAGAGGUGACAUUCGUAGAUAUUCGGAGGAACACCAGUGGCGAAGGCGGCUCACUGGACCAUUACUGACGCUAAAGUGCGAAAGCGUGGGGAGCAAACAGG
rnacentral:rRNA from 1 species